rnacentral:rRNA from 1 species
UGGCGGACGGGUGAGUAACGCGUGGGUAACCUGCCUCAUACAGGGGGGUAACAGUUAGAAAUGACUGCUAAUACCGCAUAAGACCACAGCACCGCAUGGUGCAGGGGUAAAAACUCCGGUGGUAUGAGAUGGACCCGCGUCUGAUUAGGUAGUUGGUGGGGUAACGGCCUACCAAGCCGACGAUCAGUAGCCGACCUGAGAGGGUGACCGGCCACAUUGGGACUGAGACACGGUCCAA